AGCUCCCAGAGCCAAGUGCAGAGGCGAGUGUCCAGCGCCCUCCCCGGCAGCCAUCCUCUACGUGGACACUACUUGCUCAGCCUGUCGAUUCGCCCUGAUUUGCACUUUUCUGGAUAUGCUUGCGGAAACUUCCACACCCUACGUACAUUCUCUGCAUACCUGGUCAUGGUGAAUGCUGACAGUUGGACGUCUGCUCCGCCUCCCCCGUCUUUUGUGAUUCUGAUGGCUGCCCGGCAGGACCUUCAGUGCAGCGGAGACCACCUCCCUCGGCUAGCUGCCAGUCUCCAAGGUCCGCCUAUUCUGCACAUUUCACACAGACGGAACCCUACGCCAUCUGGCCUUUCACAUCUGCUCUCACUAGCAUCACGAUAUCCAGGUUCAUCCACGUCAUGUCGCCUGUCAGCACUCCACCCUCUUGAAGUGCAGAGAGCGUGGCCAGCGUGGAUAGGCCACGUUCUACUUGCCCGUCCCUCGGUGGAUGGGCGGCUGGGUUGUUCCUACCUUUC